rnacentral:rRNA from 1 species
CUAGUGGCGCACGGGUGCGUAACGCGUGGGAAUCUGCCUUUGGGUUCGGAAUAACAGUGAGAAAUUACUGCUAAUACCGGAUGAUGUCUUCGGACCAAAGAUUUAUCGCCCAAAGAUGAGCCCGCGUAAGAUUAGCUAGUUGGUGAGGUAAAGGCUCACCAAGGCGACGAUCUUUAGCUGGUCUGAGAGGAUGAUCAGCCACACUGGGACUGAGACACGGCCCAGACUCCUACGGGAGGCAGCAGUGGGGAAUAUUGGACAAUGGGCGAAAGCCUGAUCCAGCAAUGCCGCGUGAGUGAUGAAGGCCUUAGGGUUGUAAAGCUCUUUUACCAGGGAUGAUAAUGACAGUACCUGGAGAAUAAGCUCCGGCUAACUCCGUGCCAGCAGCCGCGGUAAUACGGAGGGAGCUAGCGUUGUUCGGAAUUACUGGGCGUAAAGCGUACGUAGGCGGUUAUUCAAGUCAGAGGUGAAAGCCCGGGGCUCAACCCCGGA